rnacentral:lncRNA from 1 species
UAGGACCCCAAACAUCAGAAUGAACAAUGUCAAAAGGAGACUCUGCUCGAUUAUUUAUCUUGCUUGAAAAAGACGUUCGAACAUGUUUUUCAAGCCGACACGACUCACACUCUAAAGACUGCAAAUGAGAGAGAUGAGGGAUCAUCUUUCUCAGCUUAUUUAGAUUCGGAUGAUCCAGACGAUGGUGAAGGAGACUAGGAGACUCUGUGACAGCACAUAUGGUAGAGGAUGGAGGUUGGAGAUAAUAAAGUCCUUGUGAUUCAGAUCCUACACCAAUCGUCUGUUCCGUACUCUGAUCUUGUAUAAGAAAAGAAUCAGCAGUAAAGGUUAUAGAGCAGUCAAGAGUGCGAGUAAGUUGACUAAUAGAA